CACUCCUGCGGGAGGCAGCAGUGGGGAAUUUUGGACAAUGGGCGAAAGCCUGAUCCAGCAAUGCCGCGUGAGUGAAGAAGGCCUUCGGGUUGUAAAGCUCUUUUGUCAGGGAAGAAACGGUGAGAGCUAAUAUCUCUUGCUAAUGACGGUACCUGAAGAAUAAGCACCGGCUAACUACGUGCCAGCAGCCGCGGUAAUACGUAGGGUGCAAGCGUUAAUCGGAAUUACUGGGCGUAAAGCGUGCGCAGGCGGUUUUGUAAGUCUGAUGUGAAAUCCCCGGGCUCAACCUGGGAAUUGCAUUGGAGACUGCAAGGCUAGAAUCUGGCAGAGGGGGGUAGAAUUCCACGUGUAGUAGUGAAAUGCGUAGAUAUGUGGAGGAACACCGAUGGCGAAGGCAGCCCCCUGGGUCAAGAUUGACGCUCAUGCACGAAAGCGUGGGGAGCAAACAGGAUUAGAAACCCCUGUAGUCCCAUG
rnacentral:rRNA from 1 species